rnacentral:siRNA from 1 species
GACAUUCAUAUGCAAGCUGC